UCGCAAUGUUUCAUUGACGCCACAAACGCCAGCCUUCCUAAAAUGCAUUGUUAUUUCAUCAAGCAUGUUAGCUAAAUCACCUAGUUAGCUAUGUAAAGUUAGCUUGCUAAAACUGUUCCUCGCUUCACACCGUCAGCACCACUGACGAUAAUACACCCAGAAAAACGGACAGCGAAGAUAUAGAUGCCCUUCUUGAGGACAUACUUGACGAUGACUUCGAUUCCCUUGAGCUAAACGUCGUGUGACCAGCUGAAAUGUAUCUCCUGUGACUUUCGGGUGGCCAUGUUUGACGAUCAUGAAUGGGACCUAUUCUUCAGGAGCAACAUGCAAGACUGUCAGAAGCUGCGGGCCAAGCUGAGGAGAAGAAAGGGGGCGCGGGCAUACACCUGCCAGUGUAGCUGGUACUCUGCUCGAGACCUCACCGACCUGAGAGAACAGCACCAGCCCAAGUGGGUCUGUGGGAAGCAUGACGUGUGACAGCCUUCUUUCUAUCACACACACACACCACUUUGCAGUUACUUGAAAACCAAUGUCCUCUUGUUAUAGACAUCCCAACACAUAUUUUUCUGCCUUGAGAAUGAUAUAGGUCUUUCUCUGCAUUACAUUUAGUGUGUUCUGGGUUUAAAUGAACAAGGUAGGUCUUCUGCUAUCUUUAGAGAUGUGAUUUUAGCUAGCUCAGUUUUAAGAGCAGGUAUAUGUCAGCCCAUAUUUGUGUGAAAACGGUACUUAGGAAAGAUGAGGCUAAAUAUAUAUAUAUAUAUGUAUGUGUGUGUGUGUGUGUAGUAUUUCAGUAUGUUACAUGCUUUUCUGUAGCCUUUCCUUCUCUGUCUUAGUUUCUAUCUCCCUUGUCCUUUUGUUUAUUUCCUCUUCUGUCCCUUUGAGUCAAAUGCGUUCUCUCUUCAGGGAUUUCUGAUCUUACCAUUCAUGUAUUGUGUAUAAUAUGAAGUUGAGGUUAGUGUGGAGUUAAACGAUGCAAGCUUUUCCUGUUGCAUCUGUGCUAGACAUUUAGACAUAAAAUAUUAA